GUUAGUUUAGUUUAUAUAAAAUGUUAUUUUGUGGUAAUAAAGAAAAUAUAUUUUAACUAAUA
rnacentral:tRNA from 2 species